GCUGGAGUGAGGGAGGGAGAGGGGUGAGCCAAGGGGGCGAGAGGCAGGCAGGACGGGGCCUGGCCGCUGCGUGGAGUAGGGAGUUUGGACUUUCCCCUAAUGCUGCUGGAAGCCCUUGAAGUGUUUAAACAGGAGAGCGCCUCAUCUGAUUGACACAUGGAAACAUCACUCCGCUGCAGAGCGUGGACAGGAGAAGCGGGCCUGUCCUGGAGGCAGAGAGACCAGGGUCCCAAGCCAGGCAGGACGGCCGCGCCGCCUAAGCUGCAGCAAGGUGGCGUGGACACCAGGGUCACGUGUUUGCAAGUACAGUGGGGGUGCUGCCGGCGCCUGCUGAGAAAGAAGGCACACCCACAGCUCCCACUCCCUGCAGGCCAGGGCCCUGUUGGGGUCCCUCUCGGGGAAGACCUGGUCUUCCUUCCUGGCCCCUCGCCUCCGUGUCAUGAGCAUAGUGACAUGUCACAGUCGUUCUGCCAGGUGGAAGUUCAGGGAGGGGAGGCCCCUGCCUAAGAGCACGCGGUGACCAGGACCCCCUCUGGAGGAUCCCUCCCCACAGACUGCCAGGGCCCUGGCUGUCGUUGGUGGCGGGGCCCGUUGCCUCCCCUGGGCGGAGGUAAGAGCUGGCUGCGGCUGGGAUCAGGAGGCAGAGCCCAGAGUGCUGAGCAGCGUUAGGAGGUGCCCGGGCUCGGGGUCUGCAUCCCUGGCCUCCGUUGGUGGCUGCCCAGGGCCUCCAGAGGGGCGCGCUGUGGCCAGGUGGCUCUCUGGUCCGGGCGAUCCCAGUGGGUGGACAGGCCCCUGCAGGGCAGCCAGAGCAGUGGGGUCCCCGCAGGGCCGCCAGCUCGUGUCCUCUGCUACCGCAGACGGCCCCUUGCGAAGCCACAGCUUUCCUUUCCUAAAGCAGGAGCAGCCUGAGGCCCAGGGCCCCCUGGGGGGGCUCCGUUUGUGUGCCAACAGCUGAAGGGGCAGAGACGAAUGCGCCCCUCCUCCCAGAAGCCUGGCCUGCUGGACGGCCUGCAUCGACCACGCUGGGUGCCUCGCGUCUGUGCCUCCAACCGCGCGGCGCCUCUCCAGUGUGCCCAGGCCAGACACAGUCCUGCCUGGGGGUCCACAGGCGUGCCCCUGCCCGGACUGGGUCGGGAACGCUGGGGAGAGCGGGCGGUGCCAGGGUGGCAUGUAACACACACCGUCCUUGACAGCCUCAGGCCGCCCCCGUGUCAGGCCCGCUCCAGACCAGACAUGGCCAUGGAGGUCACAGCAGCCCUCAAGGUUGCCAGCUGGGCACGGUGGAGCACGGGCACACACUGAAAACAGGAGCAGGGUUCUGUGGACCCUGAACUGUACCCAGGAGGAGGGCAGAUGGGGAGGAAGGCUCCUCUGAGGAGCUGAGGCUUGAGCUGACAGCUUUAUCGAGAUAUGGUUCACAUACCAUACGUUCACCCAUUUAAAGUGAACAAUUCAGUGGCUUUCUGUAUAUUCACAGCAUUCCCUUUUAUGAUCAAAUAACGUUGCAUUGUGUGGGUACCCCACGCUCCGUUCAUCCGUUCGCCCGCUGAUGGAUGUCUGGGUUGCUGCCACCUUUUGGCUGUUGUGAGUAGCGCUGCUGUGAGCACUUGGGUGCAGGCUUCUGCGCGGGCGUGGGUUUUCACCUCUCUUGGGCGUAUGUGCCCAGGAGUGGAAUGGCUGGGUCAGAUGGUAUCUCCAUGUUUAGCCACUUGAGGAACUGCGAGGCUGUUUCCCAAAGCAGCGGCACCAUUUUGCAUUCCUCUCGGCAGCGUGUGAGGGCUCCCAUUUCUCUGCAUCCUGCCCAGCGCUUGUCAUUAUCUGACUCUGUGAUGUGGUUCUUCCCACCUUCCUCGCUGGAGGCUCCUCUCUGAGCGGCCAGCUCCCCUCCUGCAGCCUCAGCCCCUGGCCUAGGCCUCCCCAGCCCCAGACUGGGGAGGAUGCAAAUGGCACGUGGGACUGCAUGGCAGUGCUGUCUCAUCUUUGUAGUUCCCCAGAUCCCACUCUUUCCUACCACACUUUCACUCAGCCCCUCCAAAAGAUCCCCAGGAAGCAGCAGGGCACGAGUUGUUAAGUCAGGGAAGCUGAGGCCUCAGAGGGGUGAAGGUUGCUGGAGACCGGGCCAGGGCUCCUGGGCCUGCCCUCUGGGUGCUGCGGCUGCCCUGCUGGCCCUGCAGGCUGUCCUGUGUGGCACUGGGGAAGGUGGCAGGAACGAGGAGUCUCCGGAGAACAGGUGACCCAGGAAGCAAGCCUCUACUCCAAAUUGCGUCCCAGAGCCCCUCCCGAAGAAUGCUUUUGCUGCCCCCCCACUGUUUACCAAGGAGGUGCCGACGCCCUGGGGACCAGGCAUCUCGGGGAACAGCCAGGCUGAAGCAGCCUGUGGCCCAGCCUGAAAGGCUUAGGGCUCGGCCAGCUUGAGGAGGCCAGGCACGACAUGGUGGGCCAGCCUCUGCCAGCCUGUUGGGACUGCAGCCAGGCUUCUCCCCUCGGGAUGGUGCCCGAGUCAGAGCAAGGCUGCCCUCCUACGUGACUGCCCACCCCGGGCUGCAGCCUUGGGGUCUGUGUUCCCGCUGACCAGGUAAGGCUGGAGCAGGGAGGGUCUACCCUGGUAGGGACGCCCCUCCUAGGGCCCAGGUCUCCUGUCCCACCCCUGCCCCGACCCUGAUGCCCCUGGGACUCUAACCUCCUCUUCUUUCCUCCUGCUGUUUCUUUCCUAGCCUGUGUGUCUGUCCCUCUUCAUCUGUCCGUCCCAUUCAAGGCCCGGCCGCACGCCACGUCCUCCAGAGACCUAUCCUCCCUCUGCCCUCCUCUGAAUUGCAUGGACAUCUGCACCUUCUGGCGCCUACUGCUCUGUGUUCUAGGUGAUCGGGCCUGUGACUUAUGGUCCUAACGGAUACCAAGUGUUCUCCUUGAGGACAGGACCAGUCCCGCUCACCUCUGCCUUCAUUAUUAUUUGGUCAGAAUUAUUUUGGUUGCCAGUAACAGCAUCUUAGCUCAAACUGGCACUUUACUGAUGCAUGUUACUGAAAGUCUCGGGGCUUCAGGUACAGCUGGGUCCAGGGCCCCAUUCAUCAGGGCUGUGUCCAUCUCUUGGUCUUGCUGUCUGGCAGGUUCUCCCCAUGUGGUGAGGAUGGCCAGCUCAGCUAUCCCAGCAGAAGCCCCAGACUUGGCGUCCAUUGGUUGGGCUUGGGGCAUGUGCCCACUCCUGUGUGAGUGAUUGUCCACAGAGCAGCUGUUCUGAUUGGUCAGGCUUGCAUCAUGUACUCAUCUUAGAGUUGGGGGUGCUGCCAUGGACCAAGAGUAGGGGGCAGGGUGCCUCCCAAGGGAAAUUGUGACCGCUGGGGGGCGAAACUGUAGGAGCCCCAGAGAUGAUCCUCCCUGACUCCUUCCCGACUCUUGUUGCCCCAUUCAGGGGUCGGCAGGUCUUACAUACCUCCCUCCUGGGGACUUCUCGCACUCGGUCCUUGUUCUCAUCAGGAACUUGCCCCCUGCCCCACUCCGCUCCCAGCCCACCAUUGUCCACCCUCCCUGCAGCAGCCAAAGGGGACUUCCUAAAGCAUAAGCAAAUCACAUCCUGCCUAAAACCCUCGAUGGCUCCCCAUUUCCCCCUGAACGAAGUCCGUUCUUCUUAAGAAAGCAUGCCCAGCCCUUGGUGAUCUGGGCCCGUGCCCCUCCAGCCCCGUUUCCCUCUGUUCCUUCCUCCCUCUGGGACUCAAUGCUCUAAGCUCCUCAAACCACCUCGAGUUGCCCCAUGCCUCUGCCUGGGAUGCCCUUUCCCAGCUUGUCUGACUGGCAAAUCCUUCCUCUUCAAUACCCAGUUCUGUCAUCAUCUCCUCCAGGAAGGCUUCCAGGACUUCCGUGAGUAGUUAAGACUGCCAUCUGCUAGGCAGCCACAGCUGUUCUUCCCUCUGAGCCAGGCCAACUGGGGAUUUCACCCUCUGGCCCCUGCUUGCCCUUGAGUGCUUCUUCCUGCUCCCUCCCCGGUGCCUAGCUUGGAGCCAGGCCCAGCGAUGGCUCCUGGGCAGUGCCUGUUGACAGAUCUGAGGGCCCAAGGGAGUGGGGAACCUGGGUGGGCCCUGACUGCCCUGGGGAAGACGGAGUUACAAGCUUCCUGCUGAGGUCCCUUUUGCCCUCAGCUUAGAAGCCACCUCCUUCACAUGGCCUUCCCGGCCCAGCCUCUGAGAUGUCGCCCUCCAGUCACCUUAUCAUAUCUCUGGUUGUAGCCUGGCUGCUAUUUUCCCUGUUUGUUUACUUCUUGUCUCUUUCAGCCCCUGACACUCACGAGCUUGUCAGUUCCACGAGAGCAGAUUUCAGGAUCUGCCCUCUUCCAGUACUUGGCAUGGUACCCCUCACCAAAGGGGCCCAGGAAAUGGUCACUAAAUGAAUGACCUCCGGCACCCUCCCCGUUGGACCCACCUUUGGGAGGAAUUGUCAUGGUUCCCAGGUUGAGGGGGCUGGUUCCAAUGGGGGAAGCUCCAGUUGCCUUGGUGGCCCUCUCCCCUGGGGACCCCCCGUCUACCUCACAGCCCAAGCCUUUGGAUGGCAGAGGUAUUGGAAUGACUCAUUCCAGGUGGGGCAUCUCAAGACCUAAUUCUCAGCAAAACUCCCAAU
ensembl:lncRNA